rnacentral:pre_miRNA from 1 species
CUUGGGAACCCGUAGAUCCGAACUUGUGUUUAUAAACUUUAAGAUCUCUCAAGUUCGAUUCUAUGGGAUUCUCAAUG